UUAAUUAAUAACCAACAAGGCAUGGUGGGCAAGAAGGUGGGUGGUUAGCCCAGAAACAGGUGGGCUGGCCACAGUGAGAUUGGCACGGAGUAGGCCCCCUGUUACAGCUGCUCACACCUAUUA